CACGCUGGCGGCGUGCUAACACAUGCAAGUCGAACGCGAAAGUCCCGCAAGGGAUCAGUAGAGUGGCAAACGGGUGAGUAACGCGUGGGUGACCUGCCUUCGAGCGGGGGAUAACGUUCCGAAAGGGACGCGAAUACCGCAUAACAUCCUGCUUUUGAAGAGGUGGAGAUCAAAGCUGGGGACCGCAAGGCCCGGCACUCGAAGAGGGGCCCGCGUCUGAUUAGCUAGUUGGUGAGGUAACGGCUCACCAAGGCAACGAUCAGUAUCCGGCCUGAGAGGGCGGACGGACACACUGGGACUGAGACACGGCCCAGACUCCUACGGGAGGCAGCAGUGGGGAAUUGUUCGCAAUGGGCGCAAGCCUGACGACGCAACGCCGCGUGGAGGAUGAAGAUUUUCGGAUCGUAAACUCCUGUCGAAUGGGACGAACAGGCUGCGGGUUAAUACACCGCAGCCCUGACGGUACCGUUAAAGGAAACCCCGGCUAACUCCGUGCCA
rnacentral:rRNA from 1 species